AGUAUCUUUGAUAGAAGAUAGACAAAGGAUGUUAUUCACUAGGUAGGCCCUGAUAUACCUAUACCUUAUCAGUGAACCUUGUUUAGCCUGAGUAACAACAGGGCGCUAUUUAAAAUGUCUUCCGUACAGUGGACAUACUGCACAUUAUGUUGACAAUGUGUUUCCUUCAAACCAGAAUCCUGACCUCCUUUACUUGACUUUUAUCUACUCCAGGUGUUAAAGGAGCACUCAGCCCUCUGGCGAAGGUCCCAUUCCCAGCUGUCCAUAGUCCUGCUAUCCGGGACUUAUGCCAUCACAUGUACACAGAAGGGAAGGUGUGAGCCAACCUUAAGGUUGAAGUCUGAGCCAACUGUGGUUUUAGAUGAGGUUCCUAUUGUUAGAAUACUUGGUAUUCACUGAAGGUCACUUGAGGAGGUGUUGAGUGUUGGGCCCUGCCUCCAUGUGUCCUUUUCUUGUCUUACCCUUCUUCUGGCCUCCAUUCAGACACUGAAGUUAGUGGUUGGUAGAUUUGUGCUCAGAUCUGGUUAAGGCUCUUAUAGAUAAAAUGUAUGUCUGCUGAUGAAGACUAAGCAUGGCACAUAACUGAAAACGGUGGAAAAAGAAUCAUAGGCUGCUAUUGUGAAACAACACAAUGAAUGAGACAAGUGCACCUCAAUAACAGAGGAUUCUAUUGGGGAAACCCUUUCUGCAGAUCCUGAUGCCUUCAAGCACACCGUUACAGCGCAGCUGGUGCAUCACCAGAGGGUUCUCCAUGGCCCCAGGAGUCUUGGUCUCAUUAGGGAUGAGGCAGCGAACAAAGUGAGGACUGUGGACCUCUGUGUGGAAUCAAAUCCUGAGUACUCCUUGUCUUCGAUUCGAAUGACUAGCACUUGGCGAAAUAAUGGAAAGGUCUCUCUUGGAUGACUACCCUUUUUAUCCCAGAUUAUCCGUUGUCAGCCAGACAUAAUUGUCAAGUCUGCCUCUUCUCUGUUUUCCACAUGGCCCUUCCUUGUCUGUCUUUGGAAAGAAGAUGCUUUAUACCAGAGAAAGACUUCACUACUGACCUUCACUACUGAUAUGAAGAGGAUCCUGUUGGGGAAUCCCUUUCUGCAGAUCCUGAUGCCUUCCAGUACACCGUUACAGCGCAGCUGGUGCAUCACCAGAGGGUUCUCCAUGGCCCCAGGAGUCUUGGUCUCAUUGGGGAUGAUGCAGCGAACAAAGUGAGGCUGCUUUGUGUGCCCAUCUUGGCUUUCAUCACCUUCUCGCUGUUUGGACAUAGAGUGGUAAUCAGAAUCCCCUAAGGUAAUGC